CCUACGGGGGGCAGCAGUGAGGAAUAUUGGUCAAUGGACGAGAGUCUGAACCAGCCAAGUAGCGUGAAGGAUGACUGCCCUACGGGUUGUAAACUUCUUUUAUAUGGGAAUAAAAUGUUCCACGUGUGGGAUUUUGUAUGUACUAUAUGAAUAAGGAUCGGCUAACUCCGUGCCAGCAGCCGCGGUAAUACGGAGGAUCCGAGCGUUAUCCGGAUUUAUUGGGUUUAAAGGGAGCGUAGGUGGAUUGUUAAGUCAGUUGUGAAAGUUUGCGGCUCAACCGUAAAAUUGCAGUUGAAACUGGCAGUCUUGAGUACAGUAGAGGUAGGCGGAAUUCGUGGUGUAGCGGUGAAAUGCUUAGAUAUCACGAAGAACUCCGAUUGCGAAGGCAGUUCACUAGACUGCAACUGACAUUGAGGCUCGAAAGUGUGGGUAUCAAACAGGAUUAGAUACCCUUGUAGUC
rnacentral:rRNA from 1 species